UACGGGGGAUGCAAGCGUUAUCCGGAUUUAUUGGGUUUAAAGGGUGCGUAGGCUGUGAGGUAAGUCAGCGGUGAAAUGCCCCCGCUCAACGGGGUGAAGUGCCAUUGAUACUGCCUUGCUGGAAUGCGGAUGCCGUGGGAGGAAUGUGUGGUGUAGCGGUGAAAUGCAUAGAUAUCACACAGAACACCGAUUGCGAAGGCAUCUCACGAAUCCGCGACUGACGCUGAUGCACGGAAGCGUGGGUAUCAAACAGG
rnacentral:rRNA from 1 species